rnacentral:rRNA from 1 species
AUACGGAGGGUGCAAGCGUUAAUCGGAAUUACUGGGCGUAAAGCGCACGCAGGCGGUUUGUUAAGUCAGAUGUGAAAUCCCCGGGCUCCACCUGGGAACUGCAUCUGAUACCGGCAAGCUUGAGUCUCGUAGAGGGGGGUAGAAUUCCAGGGGUAGCGGUGAAAUGCGUAGAGAUCUGGAGGAAUAACGGUGGCGAAGGCGGCCCCCUGGACGAAGACUGACGCUCAGGUGCGAAAGCGUGGGGAGCAAACAGGAUUAGAUCCCCUGGUAGUCCACGCCGUAAACGAUGUCGACUUGGAGGUUGUGCCCUUGAGGCGUGGCUUCCGGAGCUAACGCGUUAAGUCGACCGCCUGGGGAGUACGGCCGCAAGGUUAAAACUCAAAUGAAUUGGCGGGG